AGUGAACGCUGGCGGUAGGCCUAACACAUGCCAGUCGAACGGCAGCACAGUAAGAGCUUGCUCUUACGGGUGGCGAGUGGCGGACGGGUGAGGAAUACAUCGGAAUCUACUUUUUCGUGGGGGAUAACGUAGGGAAACUUACGCUAAUACCGCAUACGACCUACGGGUGAAAGCAGGGGAUCUUCGGACCUUGCGCGAUUGAAUGAGCCGAUGUCGGAUUAGCUAGUUGGCGGGGUAAAGGCCCACCAAGGCGACGAUCUGUAGCUGGUCUGAGAGGAUGAUCAGCCACACUGGAACUGAGACACGGUCCAGACUCCUACGGGAGGCAGCAGUGGGGAAUAUUGGACAAUGGGCGCAAGCCUGAUCCAGCCAUACCGCGUGGGUGAAGAAGGCCUUCGGGUUGUAAAGCCCUUUUGUUGGGAAAGAAAAGCAGCAGGUUAAUACCCCGCUGUUCCGACGGUACCCAAAGAAUAAGCACCGGCUAACUUCGUG
rnacentral:rRNA from 1 species